UUUGAUUUUAUUUCCAUUUAUUAUUAUUAUUAUUAUUAUUAUUAUUAUUAUUUCAUUUUAGUUUUGCUUUAUUCAAAAAAAAAAAAAAAAAAAAAAUAGUACUAGUUCGUAUAGGUUGCUUUGUGAUUUUAUUUUAAUUUUAUUUAUUUAUUUGUUUAUUAUUAUUAUUAUUAUUAUUAUUUAUUAUUAUUAUUAUUAUUAUUAUUUUAUUUUAUUUUAGUGUAUAUAUGUUUUUUAGUUUUGCUUCAAAAAAUAAAAAUAAAAAAAUAAAACAAAACAAUCUAUGGGACACAAUGGGAGGUCAAUCCCAUACUUUGAGAGCAACAAAAAAAAAAAAAAAAGGCUCAUGUGGAUCAAUUCCCCAACCAUCCAUGGGGAUCAAUCCCUUUUCACUUUUUCAUUUUUUUUUUUUUUUUACAUAAAAUUUACGAUCCCUCACUUAUGGUGAUCGAACCCCUAGCUUGCCCUCGAUGCCUCCAUGCCCAAACAAAAUUCUUUUUCUUUCCCCAAAAAUCUCUAAACCCAAUUUCAUCGUCCAACCCUCACGGUUGGCUCUUCUCUUCCGCGGUGUCGUAGGCCUUCAAUUCCGGCGCCAUGCCUCUCGGCCUUUGCUUUGCUUUGCCAGUUUGAGACUCAGUUCUUUCUUCUUCUUUUCCAGCGGCUUUGCUUUCCUUUGUAAAACGCUGUUGGGUGCGAUUACAAGGGUGGGGUUGCCGUUCCUGAAAAACAGCAGCGCCGACAGCGGGAUUUCAACAGCGUCGCGGCUGGGUCAUUUAACGGCGUCAGAUCUGGGUUCUCUCCAGCGAUCUCAGCUGGGUUUUCUCCGGAUCGCGGCUGUUCGUCUUUCCGGAUCGCGGCUAUUCGUCUUUCCGGAUCGCGGCUGUUCGCUGUUCCUUUCGGCGUUAAGAUUGGUUUGUUCUUUCCAGCGCCAGCUGAGUUCCUUUCCGGUGAUUUUGACUGUGUUUCUCCAGCGAUUCCGGUGACUGUGUCAAAAUCACCGGAAUUUAACUGGGUUUCUCCGGCGGUUUUAACUGGGUUUCUCCGGCGUUUUUGACUGGGCUUUCUCCGGCGAGUUUGUGGGUCAAAAUAAAAAAAAACAGCAGCAGCAAUUUCUGGGUUCUUCUCCAGCGAUUUGCGGCUGGUUUUUCUCCGGCGUCGCGGCUGGGCUUUAUCUUUCCGGCGGGAUCGUGAUUCGCCCUUUAUUUUUCCGGCUCGUUCUUCUCUGAUUCCGGCUGGGUUCUUCCGGCGAGCUUGUGAAUCGCUGGUUUCUUCUCUGAUUCCGUCUGGGUUCUCCUCAGGCUACGAUUUGAGACUCGGCCUUGCUUCGUUUAAACAGCGCCCUUUGCUUCGCCCUUUAUUUUUCCAAUGUCACGGGUAAUGAAAAAGGAAACCGAUCAUGCUGCGCCAACGGUUAGCUGCGUUAAAUUCCGGCCAUGGUUCUGAGUUCUUCUCCACCGACGGUUUGAGGUCAAUAAGGUUCAAAUUGACUAAUUUCGGUUCAUUAAAGCCUUUUUGGAGACAAGCAAAGACAUUCGGAAAAAGUUCAGAAAAUGGCAAAAAGAGGUUGCAACCCAUUGUUCGUAUUAGGGCUGCAAGUUGGGUUGGCCCAACCUAGCCCAACCCGAACCCAACUUUAACCCGAAUCGGGUUGGGUUGGGCCAACCUGAAUUGUACUUAACAUAGGUUGGGUCAUAACCAGGAUCGAAUAUUUUCGGGCGGGUUGGGUCGGGUUGACAGGUUAAUUUUUUUUUUUUUUUUUCGAAAAUUUAUAUAAAUAUUAUAUAUAUGUGUAUAUUAUAUAUAUUUAAUUAUAUUAUUAUUAAAAAUAUAUAUAUUUUUAGGGCAAAUCAUUUCAGCCUCCCUCAAUUACCUUCAUCUCUAUUCUCAUUCUUUAACUCUGAAAUUGCUCUCUCUCUCUCUUGCGCAACUACAAAAUCAACAAGAAUCAGAAGUUCAAAACCUAUAUAUUUCAAUUUAUCUAUCUGUCUGCUAGAAUCUAAAGUUCAAAACCUAAUACCUAUAUCAAAACCCAUAUCGGCAUAUCAUUUCAAAUUGUUCAAAAAAUCAAAACCCAUUUCAGAUUCAACUGCUCGUCGUUUUCGUCGCCGUUGUCGGCGAUGAAUUGUUUCUAAUUCUCGAAGACGAAAGCGAUUCUUGGAGAUGCCCAAAAAGCAUAUCAACCACAGUUUGAGAAGAUCGAGGAGCACAAUUUCUGCAUGAAUCCCUCUUAGAUCAAGUACAAUUUAAUCACCAUGAAUCCCUCUCAAAUCAAGAACAGAAGAAGAAGAGACUCCCAUGGCUAUGGCGAGUGACGAAGAUACGAUAGAGAAUUGUUUGGUUCUCCUCUGCAUCGAAGUUGUGUCGUACUAUAGAAAGAGGAGAGAAAGAGAAAGAGAAAGAGAAAGAGGAGAGAAAAAAAAAAAAAAAAAUGGGUUUCGGGUUGGGUUCGGGUUAAGCCCGAGCCCAAUCCGAAUGUGUCCGGGUUUUGACAAAACCCAACCCGAACAUGAACCUCAUUUGUGAAUAUAAGCCCCAAUUUUAAAAUUUCUAGGCUGGGCUUGGGUUGGGCUGGGUUAGCCCGCCCAAGUUGCAGCCCUAGUUCGUAUAAUGUGUUCAUCCUUCAAAAGCAGUCAAUUCUACCUUUUUCGGGCAUUUGAUGAUGUUCCCAAAUAUCAAGAAGCAAACCAAUGAGCUCGGGGCCAAAAUGGAGCUAAAUAAAGCUUACAGGAAAUUUCCAAGCCUGGGGGAUCGAUCCCCCACUAUUCACAGAACUAAAAAUGCCCUUGGGGGAUCGAUCCCCAAGGCUCGGGGAUCGAUCCCCCAGCACCUGGUAGCAUUACGGGAUUUAUGUUUUGAUGGCUACGGGAUUUUGUCUUUUGAGCUUAUUUUUGUAACUCAUGGGCUUUAAUAGAGUUUGUUACUUAAGGUAAAUAAGCCCAUUCUUUUUAGAGUUAGUUUUUCAUUAUAUUAACUAGUGAAUAUUAUUUUAUUAUUAUUAAGUUUUAUUUUUUAGUUUGUAUCGUGAUAUUAUAUUCUCUCUGGAAAAACACACGAAAGAGGAGAAACGAAGAACGGGCUAGGGUUUGGAAGAGGAAGCUCAAAGAUGAUGAAGCAGAUGAUAGAGAUUGUUCCGUCUUCAAAUUCGUCAAUCAUGAGUGGCUGAUUCUUCUACUUAAGGUUGGAUAAACCAUAAGCAUGUAACCUAAUCUCUCUCUUUUCACUUUUUGGGGAUGAAUUUGUGUAAUUAGUGUUUAGCCUUGAAUGUUUAUGAAUAAAUUCUUCCAUUUGAUUAUCUAUGUCAAUAUUAUGUUGUCUUAUGUGUGUUUGAUUGUUGAUCAAGUUCUACACUUGAAUUCUUGUUAA